UACGGAGGGAGCUAGCGUUGUUCGGAAUUACUGGGCGUAAAGCGCACGUAGGCGGUCUUUUAAGUCAGGGGUGAAAUCCCGGGGCUCAACCCCGGAACUGCCCUUGAAACUGGGAGGCUAGAAUACUGGAGAGGUGAGUGGAAUUCCGAGUGUAGAGGUGAAAUUCGUAGAUAUUCGGAAGAACACCAGUGGCGAAGGCGACUCACUGGACAGUUAUUGACGCUGAGGUGCGAAAGCGUGGGGAGCAAACAGG
rnacentral:rRNA from 1 species